GCAGUCGUGGCCGAGUGGUUACGGCAACGAACUAGAAAUCCAUUGGGGUCUCCCCGCACAGGUUCGAAUCCUGUCAACUGCG
rfam:Ixodes scapularis strain Wikel colony gcontig_1108378265400, whole genome shotgun sequence.